rnacentral:rRNA from 1 species
UACAGAGGGGGCAAGCGUUGUUCGGAAUUACUGGGCGUAAAGGGCUCGUAGGCGGCCAACUAAGUCGGACGUGAAAUCCCCAGGCUCAACCGUGGAACUGCGUCCGAUACUGGAUGGCUUGAAUCCGGGAGAGGGAUGCGAGAAUUCCAGGUGUAGCGGUGAAAUGCGUAGAUAUCUGGAGGAAUACCGGUGGCGAAGGCGGCAUCCUGGACCGGCAUUGACGGCUGAGGAGCGAAAGCCAGGGGAGCAAACGGG